GCUGGGCAUGGUGGCGUGUGCCUGUAGUCCUAGCUACUUGGGAGGCUGAGGCAGGAGAAUUGCUUGAACCCUGUAGGUGUAGGUUGCAGUGAGCCAAGAUCGAGCACUGCACUCCAGCCUGGGUGACAGAGCGAGACCCUGUCUCUC
rfam:Gorilla gorilla gorilla genomic chromosome, chr14, whole genome shotgun sequence